CAAUGGAUGAAGAGUCAGACUGAGCCAACACCUGAUCUCAGCUUGGCUCUCGUCCCUGUUCGCUCACGCGUCUGUUCUCCUUGGCUCGUCUUUGAUGCAAGAAGGUGUGGGACAAGAAGCCAGCAUGAUACUUGGAGUUAAAGCAAACUUCUCAGAUCCAGUUUCAUCCUGCUUGCAUCACACACUCGCUCAGUCUCACGCAGAUAAGAGGGUUUGAUUGAUCAUCCCUUCGUCCAUCAUUGUUGUACUCACUUGUUCUGGUGCUUGGAGCCCUGGAGGUGUGCGUGGUACUGUUCGAUGGAGUUAAGGACGACACUGCAGACGCUGCAGGAGUAACUACUGCGCAGCCCUGGAGAGAGACAGACACACAGCUGCCACCUCGCCCUCAACUCCCCCGUACACCCAGCACACCUGUGACUUCACACCUGACGUGGCGAUAAAAGCCAAUCAGAUGCGAGAAUUUUGCACCUACGGAAACGUCUCUAGUCGCACAACAAACUAGUACUGACAAUGGAGCUGUACUGUGAUGAACAAAGUGUUUCCAACCAAAGGCGCUGGAAUGAACACUUGAUUGAUGGCACAUAUGAUAGAACGUGUCAGCAGCGAGCUCACUUAGGAAUCGUAGACCAGUUGGUCGCCCUUGAAGGAAGAUGGGUGAGUUCUGCAGUAGAGCAUCAUCACUCCUCGCUGAGUGGAAAGAUCUUGGA